GAUGAACGCUGGCGGCGUGCUUAACACAUGCAAGUCGAACGAAGCACAUUUAAUUCUUCGGAAGAGGAAGUGACUGAGUGGCGGACGGGUGAGUAACGCGUGGGUAACCUGCCUUAUACAGGGGGAUAACAGUUAGAAAUGACUGCUAAUACCGCAUAAGCCGAUAGAGUCGCAUGACUUAGUCGGAAAAGAUUUAUCGGUAUAAGAUGGACCCGCGUCUGAUUAGCUAGUUGGUGAGGUAAUGGCCCACCAAGGCGACGAUCAGUAGCCGGCUUGAGAGAGUGAACGGCCACAUUGGGACUGAGACACGGCCCAAACUCCUACGGGAGGCAGCAGUGGGGAAUAUUGCACAAUGGUGGAAACCCUGAUGCAGCAACGCCGCGUGAAGGAAGAAGUAUUUCGGUAUGUAAACUUCUAUCAGCAGGGAAGAAAAUGACGGUACCUGACUAAGAAGCCCCGGCUAACUACGUGCCAGCCGCCGCGGUAA
rnacentral:rRNA from 1 species